UGCUUACACAUGCAAGUCGAACGAUGAAGCCCAGCUUGCUGGGUGGAUUAGUGGCGAACGGGUGAGUAACACGUGAGUAACCUGCCCUUAACUCUGGGAUAAGCCUGGGAAACUGGGUCUAAUACCGGAUAGGAGCGUCCACCGCAUGGUGGGUGUUGGAAAGAUUUAUCGGUUUUGGAUGGACUCGCGGCCUAUCAGCUUGUUGGUGAGGUAAUGGCUCACCAAGGCGACGACGGGUAGCCGGCCUGAGAGGGUGACCGGCCACACUGGGACUGAGACACGGCCCAGACUCCUACGGGAGGCAGCAGUGGGGAAUAUUGCACAAUGGGCGAAAGCCUGAUGCAGCGACGCCGCGUGAGGGAUGACGGCCUUCGGGUUGUAAACCUCUUUCAGUAGGGAAGAAGCGAAAGUGACGGUACCUGCAGAAGAAGCACCGGCUAACUACGUGCCAGCAGCCGGGGGUAAUACAAA
rnacentral:rRNA from 1 species